UACGUAGGGGGCAAGCGUUGUCCGGAAUUAUUGGGCGUAAAGAGCGUGUAGGCGGCCAGAUAAGUCCGCUGUGAAAUCUCGAGGCUCAACUUCGAGCUGUCGGUGGAAACUAUCUGGCUAGAGUCCGGAAGAGGAGAAUGGAAUUCCUGGUGUAGCGGUGAAAUGCGCAGAUAUCGGGAGGAACACCAAUUGCGAAGGCAGCUCGCUGGGACGUCACUGACGCUGAGACGCGAAAGCGUGGGGAGCAAACAGG
rnacentral:rRNA from 1 species